rnacentral:snRNA from 1 species
CUGCUUCUACAGCACAUAUACCCAAUGUGGAAUGAUACAGAAGUUAGCACUGUCCCUAAGUGAGGAUGAAAAGCAAAUUCUUGCAGCAUUCCAUGUUUUU